rnacentral:rRNA from 1 species
GAUGAACGCUGGCGGCGUGCCUAAUACAUGCAAGUCGAGCGAACAGACGAGGAGCUUGCUCCUCUGACGUUAGCGGCGGACGGGUGAGUAACACGUGGAUAACCUACCUAUAAGACUGGGAUAAAUUCGGGAAACCGGAGCUAAUACCGGAUAAUAUAUUGAACCGCAUGGUUCAAUAGUGAAAGACGGUUUUGCUGUCACUUAUAGAUGGAUCCGCGCCGCAUUAGCUAGUUGGUAAGUUAACGGCUUACCAAGGCAACGAUGCGUAGCCGACCUGAGAGGGUGAUCAGCCACACUGGAACGGAGACACGAUCCAGACUCCUACGGGAGGCAGCAGUAGGGAAUCUUCCGCAAUGGGCGAAAGCCUGACGGAGCAACGCCGCGUGAGUGAUGAAGGUCUUCGGAUCGUAAAACUCUGUUAUUAGGGAAGAACAAAUGUGUAAGUAACUAUGCACGUCUUGACGGUACCUAAUCAGAAAGCCACGGCUAACUACGUG